CUCUCUCAAUUGUGUGUUUCUCCUGCAAUGGCAUCAAGAUCAGAGCAAAGAACCCAUCAGUUUCUAUUCUUCUUCUCCGGUAACAGUUGUUCAUUGAUUCACUUCACUGAUUUUGAUCUUCUAUAUCUUUUCUCUUUAUUUGGCUCACCUUGCAAUCGUUGAAUUUUAGGUCUAUUUCUUUCCCUGAUGGAUUCAAACGCCGAUUCUCAUGCCUCGAGGUAGGCCUGGGCGUUCGGAUAUUCGGAUCGGGUUCGGGUCGGGUUUUUCGGGUUCAGGUUUUUCGGGUUUAGAAAACUAAGACCCGUUCGGAUAUUUUAAAACUUCGGGUUCGGAUCGGGUAUUUCGGGUUCGGAUUCGGGUUUACCCAAAGUAUCCAAAUAUUAAAAAAUUUGUAUCCGAUUAUAUGCAAAGUAUUGAAAAUACUCAAAAAUCUAUAUAUUUGAAGUAUUUUAUACCUGAAUCUAACCAAAAAUAGCUAAAACAAUAAAAAAUAUCUUAAUAUCCGAAUAAUUUAGACACUUAGGUUAUUACAAGUAUAAAUAUUACUAAUAUAUUAUAUCUAUGUAUUUAUAUUUCGGAUAUGUUCGGGUACUUGUUCGAGUUCAGGUUCGGGUUCGGAUUUUCGGGUUGUGAAGUUUAGAACCCGUUCGGGUAUUUUAAAACUUUGGGUGUGGGUUCGGAUCGAGUUUUUCAGGUCGAGUUCGGUUCGGUUCUUCGGGUUCGGAUAUUAUGCCAGACCUACCUCGAGGACUAACCCAUGUCUGAAAUUGACUGUAUUCAUGUGAGAAAGCAGUCAAAUUUCGUCCGUGUAGGGUUUGGUUAGUUACUUGGCGUUUUAUAUCAAAUGGAGCAAUCCCUGCAACAAAACAA
rnacentral:lncRNA from 1 species